AGCGUACACGGUGGAUGCCCUGGCAGUCAGAGGCGAUGAAGGACGUGCUAAUCUGCGAUAAGCGUCGGUAAGGUGAUAUGAACCGUUAUAACCGGCGAUUUCCGAAUGGGGAAACCCAGUGUGAUUCGUCACACUAUCAUUAACUGAAUCCAUAGGUUAAUGAGGCGAACCGGGGGAACUGAAACAUCUAAGUACCCCGAGGAAAAGAAAUCAACCGAGAUUCCCCCAGUAGCGGCGAGCGAACGGGGAGCAGCCCAGAGCCUGAAUCAGUGUGUGUGUUAGUGGAAGCGUCUGGAAAGGCGCGCGAUACAGGGUGACAGCCCCGUACACAAAAAUGCACAUGCUGUGAGCUCGAUGAGUAGGGCGGGACACGUGGUAUCCUGUCUGAAUAUGGGGGGACCAUCCUCCAAGGCUAAAUACUCCUGACUGACCGAUAGUGAACCAGUACCGUGAGGGAAAGGCGAAAAGAACCCCGGCGAGGGGAGUGAAAAAGAACCUGAAACCGUGUACGUACAAGCAGUGGGAGCACGCUUAGGCGUGUGACUGCGUACCUUUUGUAUAAUGGGUCAGCGACUUAUAUUCUGUAGCAAGGUUAACCGAAUAGGGGAGCCGAAGGGAAACCGAGUCUUAACUGGGCGUUAAGUUGCAGGGUAUAGACCCGAAACCCGGUGAUCUAGCCAUGGGCAGGUUGAAGGUUGGGUAACACUAACUGGAGGACCGAACCGACUAAUGUUGAAAAAUUAGCGGAUGACUUGUGGCUGGGGGUGAAAGGCCAAUCAAACCGGGAGAUAGCUGGUUCUCCCCGAAAGCUAUUUAGGUAGCGCCUCGUGAAUUCAUCUCCGGGGGUAGAGCACUGUUUCGGCAAGGGGGUCAUCCCGACUUACCAACCCGAUGCAAACURCGAAUACCGGAGAAUGUUAUCACGGGAGACACACGGCGGGUGCUAACGUCCGUCGUGAAGAGGGAAACAACCCAGACCGCCAGCUAAGGUCCCAAAGUCAUGGUUAAGUGGGAAACGAUGUGGGAAGGCCCAGACAGCCAGGAUGUUGGCUUAGAAGCAGCCAUCAUUUAAAGAAAGCGUAAUAGCUCACUGGUCGAGUCGGCCUGCGCGGAAGAUGUAACGGGGCUAAACCAUGCACCGAAGCUGCGGCAGCGACGCUUAUGCGUUGUUGGGUAGGGGAGCGUUCUGUAAGCCUGYGAAGGUGUGCUGUGAGGCAUGCUGGAGGUAUCAGAAGUGCGAAUGCUGACAUAAGUAACGAUAAAGCGGGUGAAAAGCCCGCUCGCCGGAAGACCAAGGGUUCCUGUCCAACGUUAAUCGGGGCAGGGUGAGUCGACCCCUAAGGCGAGGCCGAAAGGCGUAGUCGAUGGGAAACAGGUUAAUAUUCCUGUACUUGGUGUUACUGCGAAGGGGGGACGGAGAAGGCUAUGUUGGCCGGGCGACGGUUGUCCCGGUUUAAGCGUGUAGGCUGGUUUUCCAGGCAAAUCCGGAAAAUCAAGGCUGAGGCGUGAUGACGAGGCACUACGGUGCUGAAGCAACAAAUGCCCUGCUUCCAGGAAAAGCCUCUAAGCAUCAGGUAACAUCAAAUCGUACCCCAAACCGACACAGGUGGUCAGGUAGAGAAUACCAAGGCGCUUGAGAGAACUCGGGUGAAGGAACUAGGCAAAAUGGUGCCGUAACUUCGGGAGAAGGCACGCUGAUAUGUAGGUGAAGUCCCUCGCGGAUGGAGCUGAAAUCAGUCGAAGAUACCAGCUGGCUGCAACUGUUUAUUAAAAACACAGCACUGUGCAAACACGAAAGUGGACGUAUACGGUGUGACGCCUGCCCGGUGCCGGAAGGUUAAUUGAUGGGGUUAGCGCAAGCGAAGCUCUUGAUCGAAGCCCCGGUAAACGGCGGCCGUAACUAUAACGGUCCUAAGGUAGCGAAAUUCCUUGUCGGGUAAGUUCCGACCUGCACGAAUGGCGUAAUGAUGGCCAGGCUGUCUCCACCCGAGACUCAGUGAAAUUGAACUCGCUGUGAAGAUGCAGUGUACCCGCGGCAAGACGGAAAGACCCCGUGAACCUUUACUAUAGCUUGACACUGAACAUUGAGCCUUGAUGUGUAGGAUAGGUGGGAGGCUUWGAAGUGUGGACGCCAGUCUGCAUGGAGCCGACCUUGAAAUACCACCCUUUAAUGUUUGAUGUUCUAACGUKGACCCGURAUCCGGGUUGCGGACAGUGUCUGGUGGGUAGUUUGACUGGGGCGGUCUCCUCCUAAAGAGUAACGGAGGAGCACGAAGGUUGGCUAAUCCUGGUCGGACAUCAGGAGGUUAGUGCAAUGGCAUAAGCCAGCUUGACUGCGAGCGUGACGGCGCGAGCAGGUGCGAAAGCAGGUCAUAGUGAUCCGGUGGUUCUGAAUGGAAGGGCCAUCGCUCAACGGAUAAAAGGUACUCCGGGGAUAACAGGCUGAUACCGCCCAAGAGUUCAUAUCGACGGCGGUGUUUGGCACCUCGAUGUCGGCUCAUCACAUCCUGGGGCUGAAGUAGGUCCCAAGGGUAUGGCUGUUCGCCAUUUAAAGUGGUACGCGAGCUGGGUUUAGAACGUCGUGAGACAGUUCGGUCCCUAUCUGCCGUGGGCGCUGGAGAAYUGAGGGGGGCUGCUCCUAGUACGAGAGGACCGGAGUGGACGCAUCACUGGUGUUCGGGUUGUCAUGCCAAUGGCACUGCCCGGUAGCUAAAUGCGGAAGAGAUAAGUGCUGAAAGCAUCUAAGCACGAAACUUGCCCCGAGAUGAGUUCU
rnacentral:rRNA from 1 species